rnacentral:rRNA from 1 species
AUUGAACGCUAGCGGCAGGCCUAACACAUGCAAGUCGAACGAGUGGCGGACGGGUGAGUAAUAUCUGGGAAACUGCCCGGUGGAGGGGGAUAACUACUGGAAACGGUGGCUAAUACCGCAUACCAUCGGAUGUGCCCAUAUGGGAUUAGCUAGUUGGUGGGGUAAAGGCUCACCUAGGCAACGAUCCGUAGCUGGUUUGAGAGGAUGACCAGCCACACUGGGACUGAGACACGGCCCAGACUCCUACGGGAGGCAGCAGUGGGGAAUAUUGGACAAUGGGCGAAACCCUGAUGCAGCCAUCCCGCGUGUAUGAAGAAGGCCUUCGGGUUGUAAAGUACUUUUAGCAGGGAAGCGGUAUCUGCAGAAUAAGCACCGGCUAACUCCGUGCCAGCAGCCGCGGUAAUAC